UAGCUAUGAUUUACUGUGUCAGUCUGUACCAGAGACUUUUCAUUUAUGGCUCUCUUUACAACAAACAAGCAAGGAUGGGUUAUCCUAAUCUUACAAAGGAGGAACCCCUGGUUCAAAAGUGUUUGUUCCUUAUGUGGAAGUCACAUAUGUGGAAGUCACAUAUGUGGAACUCGAAUUUGAUCUAGUUCUGGCUGGUUUCUGGACCCAGACUCCGUCACACCAGCAGAUCUCAAUAUCUACAGAGGUGGUGUAUGCCCUGGGGCCUGGGAUCAUCAUAAGAGGGACAAUUUCACAGUCUGUAUCCUCCUGAAGCCUCAACGCCCUCAAGCCAAGAGGUCAGCUGGUCUGGCUUUCUUCACUUCCCAGAUGCUAUCAUCCAGAUUCCCUUCCUACUGAAGGAAAAUCCCUGAAGACCCUUGCUAAGUCCCAACCCCCACUCCAGGCUCCUCUCUCUCAUUGGGUCUGCCUCUCAUUUACUCCAGAUAGAUUUAUAACUUAUGCAAAUACAUGUAGAUGACUAGGCAAAUGAUUAUGCAAAUGACGCCUUUCCUUUUCUCCAUCCCAAUUCUGGUAACACUGGGAGAAAGGAACAAUAGUGAUUAAGUCCUGACAUUCGAGACAAACAUGGAUAAACCCUGAGGGCAUUAUGCUAAAUGAAAUAAGUCAGACACAGAAAGACGAAUACUGCAUGAUUUCACUUACACAUGUGAAAUUUUUUUAAAAAACCAAACGCACAGAAACAGAGAGUAGAUUGAUUGGUGGUUGUCAGGGGCUGGAGGGCAAAGGUGAUCAAGGUUACAAACUUCCAGUUAUAAGCUGAAUAGCUUCUGGGGAUCUAAUGUACCGCAAGGUGACUAUAGUUAACAAUACUGUACUGUAUAUUUGAAAGUUGCUAAGAGAGUGGAUCUUAGAUGUUCUCACCACACGUGAACCAAAGGUAAUUAGGUGAAGCGAUGGAUGUUAACUAACAUUAUUGUGGCAAUAAUUUGUAAUAUAUGCAUAUAUCAGAUUAUCGUGUUGUAAGCUUAUAUGAUGUUAUAUGUCAGUUAUUACCUCAAUAAAGCUGGAAAAAAAAAAAGGAUUGAAAGAUGGGAACUAGAAUCAAUGUGUAAACGGCAAAGAAGCUCUAAUUUUAAUCUAGAAAAUAAAACAUAAUGGCUAUUUCACAGCAAAAAUUUAUUUCCACAGAGGAUAAAAUAAAGGAGGUCUUUGAUCCUUAAGUUUCCAUGAAAGCCUCACAUCUGUAGCAAAUUAUAGAAUCUGGCUCCCUAUACCCAUUGCGUUUUCCCACUGAAAUUAGUGAUUCUUAGGAAAUGGUCAAGGGGACUAAUUUCUGUAUUUUAUCAGGACCUCAUACUGUUACAUUGGUGUAUUAUACACUGAAAAAAAUCCUGAAUCUUCUGCCUAAUAGACAAAAUAUCUUCAUAUAAAAAAACAUAGGUCCAACUGUUCAAUUUCUAUUUUAAAAAUUCUUGCCCUAUUUUAAACAGUUAAUAAAGCUGGCUUUUCAUGAACCA